rnacentral:rRNA from 1 species
UACGAAGGGGGCUAGCGUUGCUCGGAAUCACUGGGCGUAAAGCGCACGUAGGCGGCUUUUUAAGUCGGUGGUGAAAUCCUGGAGCUCAACUCCAGAACUGCCUCCGAUACUGAAAGGCUCGAGUUCCGGGAGAGGUGAGUGGGAACUGCGAGUGUAGCGGUGAAAUUUCGUAGAUAUCGCAAGAACACCAGUGGCGAAGGCGGCUCACUGGCCCGGUACUGACGCUGAGGUGCGAAAGCGUGGGGGAGCAAACAGG